rnacentral:rRNA from 1 species
AUUGAACGCUAGCGGGAUGCCUUACACAUGCAAGUCGAACGGAGUGGCGAACGGGGGCGUAAUGGAUCGGAAUGUGCCCAGUAGCGGGGGAUAACUACGCGAAAGCGUAGCUAAUACCGCAUACUAUUGGCGCGGCCGAUAUCGGAUUAGCUAGUGGGUGGGGUAACGGCUCACCUAGGCGACGAUCCGUAGCUGGUUUGAGAGGACGACCAGCCACACUGGAACUGAGACACGGCCCAGCCUCCUACGGGAGGCAGCAGUGGGGAAUUUUGGACAAUGGGGGAAAGCCUGAUCCAGCCAUCCCGCGUGGGCGAAGAAGGCCUUCGGGUUGUAAAGCACUUUAAGCGGGAAGGCGGUACCUGCAGAAUAAGCACCGGCUAACUACGUGCCAGCAGCCGCGGUAAUAC